GCCUUGGCUCACGGAGGCGAUGAAGGACGUGAUAAGCUGCGAUAAGCCUCGGGUAGAUGCAAAUGAUCUCUGAUCCGAGGAUUUCCGAAUGGGACAACCCGUCUGUCUGAAGGACAGUCACUACGCAAUAGCGUAGAGCUAACGCAGGGAACUGAAACAUCUUAGUACCUGCAGGAAGAGAAAAUAAGUUAAUGAUUCCCCUAGUAGUGGCGAGCGAACGGGGAAGAGCCCAAACCAUGAUUGUGGCAACGCAACCAUGGGGUUGUAGGACCACGCUGUGGCACGAUGCUUGUGAGAGGAACGUUCUGGAAAGAACGACCAUAGAGGGUGAGAGUCCCGUACUCGAAGCACGCUGAAGCCUAGUGGUAUCCUGAGUAACGCGGAACACGAGGAAUUCUGCGCGAAUCCGCCGGGACCAUCCGGUAAGGCUAAAUACUCCCGUGAGACCGAUAGCGAACCAGUACCGUGAGGGAAAGGUGAAAAGAACCCCGGGAGGGGAGUGAAAGAGAACCUGAAACCGCAUGCCCACAAGAAGUCAGAGCCCGUCAAAGGGUGAUGGCGUGCCUUUUGUAGAAUGAGCCGGCGAGUCACGAUCAGCAGGCGAGGUUAAGCAGGAGAUGCGGAGCCGCAGCGAAAGCGAGUCUUAAGAGGGCGAAAUAGUCUGAGGUCGUGGACCCGAAACCGGGUGAUCUAUCCAUGUCCAGGUUGAAGCUGCCGUAAGAGGUAGUGGAGGACCGAACCCACAUCCGUUGAAAAGGGUGGGGAUGAGGUGUGGAUAGGGGAGAAAUUCCAAUCGAACCCGGAGAUAGCUGGUUCUCCUCGAAAUAGCUUUAGGGCUAGCCUCGUUUUAGUCUUAUGGAGGUAGAGCACUGAAUUUCCGCGGGGGCGUCAAAGCUUACCAAAGAAUAUCAAACUCCGAAUGCCAUGUAGAUGAUGAACGGGAGUCAGACUGCACGAGAUAAGUUGGGCGGUCAAAAGGGAAAGAGCCCAGACCACCGGCUAAGGUCCCAAAGUGUGUGUUAAGUGGAAAAGGAUGUGGGAAUUCGAAGACAACUAGGAUGUUGGCUCAGAAGCAGCCAUACAUUCAAAGAGUGCGUAACAGCUCACUAGUCGAGAGUCCCUGCGCCGAAAAUGUCCGGGGCUGAAACACAACACCGAAGCCGUGGACUCCGUAAGGAGUGGUAGAGGAGCAUUCUUAAGACCGACGAAGCUGUACCGGUAAGGAGCAGUGGAGGGAUAAGAAGAGAGAAUGCCGGAAUGAGUAGCGAGAGCAAGGUGGGAAUCCUUGCGGCCGAAUAUCCAAGGUUUCCAGAGUAAAGCUGAUCUGCUCUGGGUAAGUCGGGGCCUAAGGAGAGGUCGCAAGACGUAUCCGAUGGACAACAGGUUUAGAUUCCUGUACCGCAUAUAAACAGAACUGUGGGGACGCAUGUGGAAAGCACGAGCCGGGAAUGGAAAGACCGGUACAAGCGAGGUAGGAGUGUGACAGGCAAAUCCGUCACAUAAGCCGAAGACGUGAUGUGGAGCGAAAUUUAGUAGUGAAGUAUGUGAGCCAUGUGCCGAGAAAAGCCGCUAUUGUUUUAUAUGUGCCCGUACCGUAAACCGACACAGGUGGAUGAGGAGAGAAUCCUAAGGCCGGCGGGAGAAGCAUUGUUAAGGAACUCGGCAAAAUGACCCCGUAACUUCGGGAGAAGGGGUGCCCACGAGAGUGGGCCGCAGAGAAUAGGCUCAAGCAACUGUUUAGCAAAAACACAGGUCUAUGCGAAACCGAAAGGUGAAGUAUAUGGGCUGACGCCUGCCCGGUGCUGGAAGGUUAAGAGGAGAGGUUAGAGCAAUCGAAGCUUUGAAUUUAAGCCCCAGUAAACGGCGGCCGUAACUAUAACGGUCCUAAGGUAGCGAAAUUCCUUGUCGGGCAAGUUCCGACCCGCACGAAAGGCGUAACGAUUUGGGCGCUGUCUCAGCUGUAG
rnacentral:rRNA from 1 species